rnacentral:rRNA from 1 species
UACGUAGGGGGCAAGCGUUGUCCGGAAUCAUUGGGCGUAAAGAGCGUGUAGGCGGUCCGGUAAGUCGGCUGUGAAAGUCCAGGGCUCAACCCUGGGAUGCCGGUCGAUACUGGACGGCUCGAGACCGGAAGAGGUCAGUGGAACUGCGAGUGUAGAGGUGAAAUUCGUAGAUAUUCGCAAGAACACCAGUGGCGAAGGCGGCUGACUGGUCCGGUUCUGACGCUGAGGCGCGAAAGCGUGGGGAGCAAACAGG